GAUGAACGCUAGCUACAGGCUUAACACAUGCAAGUCGAGGGGCAGCAUGGUCUUAGCUUGCUAAGACUGAUGGCGACCGGCGCACGGGUGAGUAACACGUAUCCAACCUGCCGUCUACUCUUGGACAGCCUUCUGAAAGGAAGAUUAAUACAAGAUGGCAUCAUGAGUCCGCAUGUUCACAUGAUUAAAGGUAUUCCGGUAGACGAUGGGGAUGCGUUCCAUUAGAUAGUAGGCGGGGUAACGGCCCACCUAGUCUUCGAUGGAUAGGGGUUCUGAGAGGAAGGUCCCCCACAUUGGAACUGAGACACGGUCCAAACUCCUACGGGAGGCAGCAGUGAGGAAUAUUGGUCAAUGGGCGAGAGCCUGAACCAGCCAAGUAGCGUGAAGGAUGACUGCCCUAUGGGUUGUAAACUUCUUUUAUAAAGGAAUAAAGUCGGGUAUGGAUACCUGUUUGCAUGUACUUUAUGAAUAAGGAUCGGCUAACUCCGUGCCAGCAGCCGCGGUAAUACGGAGGAUCCGAGCGUUAUCCGGAUUUAUUGGGUUUAAAGGGAGCGUAGAUGGAUGUUUAAGUCAGUUGUGAAAGUUUGCGGCUCAACCGUAAAAUUGCAGUUGAUACUGGAUAUCUUGAGUGCAGUUGAGGCAGGCGGAAUUCGUGGUGUAGCGGUGAAAUGCUUAGACAUCACGAAGAACUCCGAUUGCGAAGGCAGCCUGCUAAGCUGCAACUGACAUUGAGGCUCGAAAGUGUGGGUAUCAAACAGGAUUAGAUACCCUGGUAGUCCACACGGUAAACGAUGAAUACUCGCUGUUUGCGAUAUACUGCAAGCGGCCAAGCGAAAGCGUUAAGUAUUCCACCUGGGGAGUACGCCGGCAACGGUGAAACUCAAAGGAAUUGACGGGGGCCCGCACAAGCGGAGGAACAUGUGGUUUAAUUCGAUGAUACGCGAGGAACCUUACCCGGGCUUAAAUUGCAGAUGAAUUACGGUGAAAGCCGUAAGCCGCAAGGCAUCUGUGAAGGUGCUGCAUGGUUGUCGUCAGCUCGUGCCGUGAGGUGUCGGCUUAAGUGCCAUAACGAGCGCAACCCUUGUUGUCAGUUACUAACAGGUUCCGCUGAGGACUCUGACAAGACUGCCAUCGUAAGAUGUGAGGAAGGUGGGGAUGACGUCAAAUCAGCACGGCCCUUACGUCCGGGGCUACACACGUGUUACAAUGGGGGGUACAGAGGGCCGCUACCACGCGAGUGGAUGCCAAUCCCCAAAACCUCUCUCAGUUCGGACUGGAGUCUGCAACCCGACUCCACGAAGCUGGAUUCGCUAGUAAUCGCGCAUCAGCCACGGCGCGGUGAAUACGUUCCCGGGCCUUGUACACACCGCCCGUCAAGCCAUGGGAGCCGGGGGUACCUGAAGUGCGUAACCGCGAGGAGCGCCCUAGGGUAAAACUGGUGACUGGGGCUAA
rnacentral:rRNA from 1 species